UACGUAGGGUGCAAGCGUUGUCCGGAAUUAUUGGGCGUAAAGAGCUCGUAGGCGGUUUGUCGCGUCGAAUGUGAAAACCCGGGGCUCAACCCCGGGCCUGCAUUCGAUACGGGCAGACUAGAGUUCGGUAGGGGAGUCUGGAAUUCCUGGUGUAGCGGUGAAAUGCGCAGAUAUCAGGAGGAACACCGGUGGCGAAGGCGGCGACCUGGUCCUUUUACUGACGCUGAGGCGCGAAAGCGUGGGGAGCAAACAGG
rnacentral:rRNA from 1 species